rnacentral:rRNA from 1 species
UACGGAGGGAGCUAGCGUUGUUCGGAAUUACUGGGCGUAAAGCGUGCGUAGGCGGUUAUUCAAGUCAGAGGUGAAAGCCCGGGGCUCAACCCCGGAACUGCCUUUGAAACUAGAUAGCUAGAAUCUUGGAGAGGUCAGUGGAAUUCCGAGUGUAGAGGUGAAAUUCGUAGAUAUUCGGAAGAACACCAGUGGCGAAGGCGACUGACUGGACAAGUAUGGACGCUGAGGCACGAAAGCGUGGGGAGCAAACAGG